GUUCGCUCUAGCCUAGUUUGUUUAGUCAAUGUCAUUAUUAAUGUACUGGUUGUAGUGUAACAGUGUAAUUAAGUUGUUAAAUUCCUGCAUAAAAUGGGUAUUAUGCCACCUCCUGGUGGAUUAGUGUGCUUACAUUGUCUAAUACACUCAGUGAUAAAGGUAUGGGAUUCUAGGUAAUCCACAGCAGAUCUAUGGAGAAUUGCUGUGGGUGAGUUGAACGUGGAAUGGUCCCGGGAUAGAAAUGUAUGAAGUUGACAUUACAUCACAAAAUCCACCUUUUAAAUCGCAAUUUAUGUUAUUAGUAACUAAUGUUGUUGGUUUGGCGUCAAAUAAACCACUCUGAUAUUUGCCAUGUGGGUUUUAUGCUAGCUAACGUUCCCUCUCAAAUUGGCAGCUAACUUGAAAAUUAAUCUACUUUAGGAGUGCUAUUUCUAUCCCGUCGACUGCUCAUCAUUCAUCCAUACUGUGUGUCCCAUGAUUGCAGCUUUGGAAAUAAAUGAACUAUCCAUCCAUUACUCCUUCCUUUGUUGACUCAAUGACUUGAGGGACGGGACCAGGAAGGUAGCAUUGUUUCGCAUAGGCGUCCAGUAAUUUUGAGUUUUUUCGAAUUUGACACUGAUACUACAGUGAGUUUUAUAUUUAAUGUGUAGAUGUAUGGUGACUACACGUUUGGAUGAACAGACCAACGGGACUGCCAUUGGCAAGUCCCUUGACGGGUACCAGGAAUGGUGGAAGGACAAUCUGAAGGUAAUUAUCUUUUCACACAACACAGCAGUGUCCAGGCCUCCAGAGUAUUGACUAUAUCGCCUGCUAUAUGGAGGGGAGCCGCAGCAGUUAACUGAGUUGUCAAACCAGAUCAGAACGCCUUCGAAGACCACCUUCAGGCACGGACUGAGAAGGAUGUGGAGGUUUUUGACCAGGUGAGACUGAACAUGGACAGGGUGCAUGAGAACGAGAGCCACCUGAGAAGAAUCAAGAGGACCAAGUGCUUCGACAUCUGGGUGAAUGACUUGGAAGAAGGACGAAGGGAAGGCGAGACCCAGGAAAGCUUGGUGCUCUUUCGCUCCUAGCUGGGGUCAACAUCCGUUAAAGGCAUCAUCCCUUACCAACUCCACUGACAUCAAAAGACGGCUAUCCUUUCUUUCCUACCUGCCAUUAACAUUAUUGCAUGUCUAAUCAAACAUUUUAAAUUAAAUCAUUCAAUAAUUGUUAUUACAUACCUGAAUCAUUUAACCUGUGUGUUUGCUUGUUUACGUCUGUCUCCUACCCUGUUCCCUUUUCUCUGCUCCUGUUCUCCAGGACCUAUGGGUUCUGCCUAACACCCAGACAUGGAUCCAUCUCAUGUCUUCCAUUACCAUCCAGCCUCCAACGUUUCAUUACAUCAGCUACUGUUAUUGUCAUGUUGUCAUUAUCUGCUAAGAAAGAGCAAGACAACUAUCAUAUUGGGCACAUAAUGUGAGCUGCACAGAUUAGCUAAAAACACUAGCACUGCAAACACUCAGAACAAAGAGGGCAGCAGCGCCUGGACUUUGCACUUUCCCUCUGAGUCCACUACCUGCUGAAAAACAGCCAGAACCUCCCAUCCACACAAAACCCACUCUAUUCCACACACCAGAAUUCUGUAUUUCAGUCUUAUUGCCAUGUGAGUGUACAAAAAAAUCUGAAAGUAAAUUGACACACAUGUACCAAAAAAAAUCAAUGGUUAUGUAUUUAAAUAAAAAAUAUUGCUAUAUUGGUUUUCACAGCUGUUUCAUAAGGUGUUUGUUAUUCUAAAUUGUAACGUAUCCCUUGAUGGUAUUUGUUAGUUCAACAUUAUUAAUUGUAUCAUGAGACAUACAAUAUAUUCAACCACAAGAGUGUACUAAUGAGCUAUGAUUUUAGAAAAUCAUAAGUGAGGAUUAAAAUUAUUUCAGUGUAGGUAAGGAAAUGCCUGUUUAAAAUGGAACAUGCCAGCCAGACAAGCCAGUGUAUGAAUCAAAUGUAUUUUCAUAUGGAGUGGAAAUGAGUUCACUUUGUGAUCUGUAAGUGACAAUGUGUGGGGGGAAUUAAAUGAUAUUGUUUA